CCUACGGGAGGCAGCAGUGGGGAAUAUUGCGCAAUGGGCGAAAGCCUGACGCAGCGACGCCGCGUGAGGGAUGAAGGUCUUCGGAUCGUCAACCUCUGUCAGCAGGGAAGAACGGUCACUGUGCUAAUCAGCAGUGAAUUGACGGUACCUGCAAAGGAAGCACCGGCUAACUCCGUGCCAGCAGCCGCGGUAAUACGGAGGGUGCGAGCGGUAAUCGGAAUUACUGGGCGUAAAGCGCUCGUAGGCGGUAUGUCAAGUCAAGGGUGAAAUCACCGCGCUCCACGUGGGAACUGCCUUUGAAACUGGCAAACUGGAGUGUGUGAGAGGAUAGUGGAAUUCCAGGUGUAGGAGUGAAAUCCGUAGAUAUCUGGAGGAACAUCAGUGGCGAAGGCGACUAUCUGGCACAUAACUGACGCUGAGGAGCGAAAGCGUGGGUAGCAAACAGGAUUAGAUACCCCUGUAGUC
rnacentral:rRNA from 1 species